GAUCAAAGCAGCUGAGAAAAGAGAGAAAGAGUCCAAGAGGUUUGCACAGAGAGGCGACCGCGUGCGUGCGUGCAGCUGUGUGCAGCUCUCUUCACCGGGGACAGAGCCUUCUUGAGGAGCAUCUGGAAUGAAUGAGAUAUAACAGACCAGUCUCGGACGAGACCACCACCACCCAUAAGGAGGAGAACCAAAGGACCAAAUACUGUCUUUGGAAACCCAGACUUCAAGGUAAGUACAACAGUCAGUUCAUUUUCCUCUUAUUUAUGCUGGAUUUUAAGAGUGGCUCCCAACAUUGAAGGGAAGCAAGGGAAGUGGCUUCUGGGCUUUUGUGUAAACACCAGAAAGGAAGAAUGAGUGCUUCAACUCCACAAGGAAGAGUGCUUGGAA
rnacentral:lncRNA from 1 species